rnacentral:misc_RNA from 1 species
UACGGAGGGUGCAAGCGUUGUCCGGAUUUAUUGGGUUUAAAGGGUGCGUAGGCGGUCCUAUAAGUCAGUGGUGAAAGCCAGCAGCUCAACUGUUGGAUUGCCAUUGAUACUGUUGGACUUGAGUAUAGUUGAGGUAGGCGGAAUUGACAGUGUAGCGGUGAAAUGCAUAGAUAUUGUCAAGAACUCCGAUUGCGUAGGCAGCUUACUAAACUAUAACUGACGCUGAGGCACGAAAGUGUGGGGAUCAAACAGG